rnacentral:rRNA from 1 species
ACAAGUACCGUGAGGGAAAGUUGAAAAGCACUUUGAAAAGAGAGUGCAAGAGAACGUGAAACCGGUGUAAUGGAAGCGUAUGGAGCUAGCGUAUCUGGUGCGUAUUCAGCCGUCGAGCGUUGGGAUUGCUGGGUUUGUUAUUCCGCAAGGUUGACGGCUUGGUAUUGUCUUGAUGUUUGUCGGUGCAUUUGCGUACGGAGUGCGCCGGGUUGUACGGUUGUGCUGAUCGAAGUGCGUCUAGAGGACAUGGCCUUCGGGUCGUGAAACCUGGUCGUGCAGAGGUCGGUUGCGGCUGUGCAGCUUUGUGGAGGCAUGGGUUUUUCGCGCGGGCGUUUGUCGAUUGUGUUGACCUUGAUUGUACGCGUGCGUGCGGUCUUGGUGAAUGCCGUCGGUGGGUGUUCGUGCUCUAUGCUCUUCCCGGUGUAUAGCUAGUGACCCAUUCGACCCGUCUUGAAACACGGACCAAGGAGUUUAUGGUACACGCGAGUCAUUGAGCUGUCGAAACUCAAAGGCGCAAUGAAAGUGAGACUGUCGCAGGUCUUAAUGCGAGUGGUGCGCGUCUCGACGUUCGCCACGCAGCAUUGCCCCAUUUCGAGGACUUGUCCUGGUGUGGAGGUUGAGCGUGUGCUAUGAGACCCGAAAGAUGGUGAACUAUGCCUGAACAGGAUGAAGUCAGAGGAAACUCUGAUGGAAGUCCGAAGCGGUUCUGACGUGCAAAUCGAUCGUCUGAUUUUGGUAUAGGGGCGCAAGACUAAUCGAACCAUCUAGUAGCUGGUUCCUUCCGA